AUACGGAGGAUCCGAGCGUUAUCCGGAUUUAUUGGGUUUAAAGGGUGCGCAGGCGGCCAUUUAAGUCAGCGGUUAAAUCGUGGGGCUCAACCCCAUUCUGCCGUUGAUACUGGGUGGCUUGAUUGCGGUCGAGGUUGGCGGAAUUCGUUGUGUAGCGGUGAAAUGCAUAGAGAUGACGAAGAACACCGAUUGCGUAGGCGGCUGGCCAGACCGCAAAUGACGCUCAUGCACGAAAGUGCGGGGAUCGAACAGGAUUAGAUACCCUGGUAGUCCGCACAGUAAACGAUGAAUACUUGUUUUCGGCGAUAUAAUGUCGGAGGCAAAGCGAAAGCGAUAAGUAUUCCACCUGGGGAGUACGCCGGCAACGGUGAAACUCAAAGGAAUUGACGGGG
rnacentral:rRNA from 1 species